UACGUAGGGUGCGAGCGUUAAUCGGAAUUACUGGGCGUAAAGCGUGCGCAGGCGGUUAUGCAAGACAGAUGUGAAAUCCCUGGGCUUAACCUAGGAAUUGCAUUGUGACUGCAUGGCUAGAGUGUGUCAGAGGGGGGUAGAAUUCCAUGUGUAGCAGUGAAAUGCGUAGAUAUGUGGAGGAAUACCGAUGGCGAAGGCAGCCCCCUGGGAUAACACUGACGCUCAUGCACGAAAGCGUGGGGAGCAAACAGG
rnacentral:rRNA from 1 species